AAAUUACUUAUGAAGUCAAGCCCUUGGCCAGUGUUUACACUCAGGAAGCCCAGGGUAAAGCCACUAAGGCUUACAUGGAACAGUUGGUAGAAAUAGCCAGAUUGAGUGGGAAAUCAGUGGAACAGAUGUUAAAGGAAGAGCUCUCCACCCUGUCUCUGCCUACUGCUUCUUCUCAGGUUUGUCAUGAUUCCUCAGUUGAGCAGCACCCACAACCAGACCCACCUGUGCCAGGAGCUGUUUCUUCUCCUCCAGUCCCUCAGCUGGCAACACUUCCAGAUUCCUCAGUCUUGAAACCUCCUGUUGAUCAUCCUCAUUCUCAGACUGACGUAACUUUGAGUAAAAACCUGACCAAUCCCAGUGUUCCACCAGCUCCUCCAGUCUUAGCUGGCGGUUUCACCCAACCGGUUAUUGAUGUAAAUCCGCCCAGUGUUCAGCGGGUGGUGGUUGAGCACGUUGUGCGUAACAGUGAAAACUUGCCACAGUCUAUUGCACCAGGAAGACUUCGUGCCUUCUCAGGAAGAAGUGUACGUCCUAAUAAUGAAGCUGAUUAUGACACAUGGCGUGCUAGUGUUGAAGUCCUCAUUAAAGAUCCUUCAGUUUCUGAUUU